rnacentral:rRNA from 1 species
UACGUAGGGUGCGAGCGUUGUCCGGAAUUAUUGGGCGUAAAGAGCUCGUAGGCGGUCUGUCGCGUCGAUCGUGAAAACUUGGGGCUUAACCCUGAGCUUGCGGUCGAUACGGGCAUGACUGGAGUUCGGCAGGGGAGACUGGAAUUCCUGGUGUAGCGGUGAAAUGCGCAGAUAUCAGGAGGAACACCGGUGGCGAAGGCGGGUCUCUGGGCCGAUGACUGACGCUGAGGCGCGAAAGCUAGGGGAGCAAACGGG